rnacentral:misc_RNA from 1 species
UUAGGCCCAGCUGGCCACUUUAUUUGUGCAUUUACUAUGGCCAGUUGUAAGCUUCCUCCAGACUCUCCAAGUGCAUACUCAAAUGGGGAUACCCCAUACAUUAUUGCAUAUAGUGUGCAUCCUAAUGACCAAAUAUCAGUUCUCUCGUCAAUGUCUGCAUGACUUGGGCAAUCCCACAACUCAGGAGCUCUAAAGGGUGCUGAACAAUGUUCAGAUGCCCAUUCCUGUAACUGUAGUGCCUCUGAACGAGAUCGGAUUUGCCUCCUUGCAGGUCCAGCACUCCCAAAAUCCAUCAAUAUGGCAAGAGGUGGUUGUCCUUUCCUAUGUGUGAGAAGUAUAUUACCAGGUUUAACAUCAUUGUGUGCAUAUGGAGGAUCAAGACUGUGCAUAUGUUUCAGUCCAGCACAAAGCUG